UAGGGAUGGGGGGCGUGGGAGGCCAAGCGCAAAAAAGGAAGAAUCAUUUGUUAGGAUGAAGAAAAUUGCCGAAGUACGGUAUAGGUGGAUGAAUUGAAAUUUAUUUUCUUAUGGGUUCUCUCAUUGAUAUAGGAUGAUAGAAAAUAUGGUGAAUUGGUCCUAAAAAAUAAAAAAAGUUUCUACAUGGCGACAUAUUUUACGAGUUGGUUCCAUUAUUCUUUCCGGUUCCUGUUAUUAAAAUGAAAUUAUAGGCAAUGUAAUAAUGGCUAUUUUAUUCAUUAGUGUUGCAACUUAAACU
rnacentral:lncRNA from 1 species